ensembl:ncRNA lncRNA:CR45127 long non-coding RNA:CR45127
UUAAUUAAUAUAUUUUGACACAACAUUUCAUGUCUAAUCAAUGAACCAAACAAUGGUCGAGCACCACAACGAGCAUAACAUCGCCAAUAAAGUCCACGAACGACCGUACAAAUUUCAGCUUCGAUUGUCAAUUCAAUUCACAUUGAUCAGAUGUCAGGCUGACACUUUUUAAGCCGAUUAUGAUGGUCUAAUGGUUUAAUGCCACACACUUCCCUCCUCUUUUAUGCCCCAAAUCACUCCCAGAGUUUUCUGCAUUGUCUGCUCGGAACCCAGUUAUUGCUAUUGCUUUUUUCUGUUUCCGACUUCUAACGAACUUUGAACGACGCAUACUUCAUUCACUUUUUCUGUACGCAUUUUCCGCUCGUCAGCUCUUUUUAUUUCCUUUAAUUAGCUUUGUGACUUGUACUUUCUUCAGGGUUUUGCAACUCGAAUCGAGCCAUUUAGUUACACUUUUCCUUUUAAAAGCUUCUUAUUGUGUGUUUAUGUUUGAGUUUCGGUUGAGCUUCGAAGUGGAGCAGGGCACAUCCCAAGGUCAAUGUCAAGAGGGAAAAGCGAGAAGUGGAAGCUGGAGGAACGCGUUAGAACAAAACUGCAAAACGACAAGAUACUUUUCACAGAUAGUCCUUGGCAUCACCAGUGCAGCGCCACAAUAAUUGCCACAUGAACCACAGAAUUGAGUGCAGUUGUUGGGCUUAUCACCGCAUGACCACCAUGGCACAUCACUCAUACGCCAUGUUUGUCCAGCCGAUGCUUAAAAAGUUAAUGACUAAUUUUCGCUUGGACACAGCUCGAAAAAAGCCAGAGUCUGAAAUGGCCGUCAGUUGGUUCUGUGGAUGCCUGUCUGACCAGUGAUGUCAGUGGGGAUAGAUGGGGCUGGGGCUGGAGUUACCUUUUCGAUGUGAUGCACUGGUUUGCUGCUGUUGUUUCAGCUGUACGCUACAAUCAGGGAGGCAUGCCUUGUGUCUGAACGGAAGUACACACUACACUCACACAUAAAGCUGUAAAGCAACCGAAUACGUAAUUUUUGAAUUUUGCUGGUUUCUGUGAGCUCUUGAAUCGGUUCUUACUAAUAACAGUAUACAUUUCAGACAUGUAUGCCAGCUAAUUAAAGAAUUAAAAAUAGACUAAUUCCCAAACUUGUAUCAUAAUGAUUGUAAAAUUCGAUAUUUAUAAAAUC